AAGUCGUAACAAGGUUUCCGUAGCUGAACCUGCGGAAGGAUCAUUAACACGUAUCCAACGUUAAAACAACCCCGUGAACUUUCAGCUUGCUCGCCCGUGACAGCAGCAAUCCCUGGUAAAUCAUUGUUGAGGACCUCUGCCGAUAGUGAUAUUUUAUAGUUACGGUUGAGCGAUUGCAUCUGACCUGGCAUCCCCGUGUCUGAAAGUGUCAUUGAUUAUGAGGAUGGCGCAGUCACGAUCGCUGUAGGCCCACACGCCGGCGACCGGAUCACGCCCCUUUACGACAACUACAGUCUAACUUCGAAAUUCGCACGGCACCAAAAACCGAACAACUGUUAACAAUGGAUAUCUUGAUUCUC
rnacentral:misc_RNA from 1 species